GCGCGGGUGCUGGAACUGGUAGACAGGCUAGGUUGAGGGCCUAGUGCUCGUAAUGGGCGUGGAGGUUCGAUUCCUCUCCCGCGCACAA
rnacentral:tRNA from 3 species